GUGUUCGGUGACGAGACGGCGUGCGACGAGCCGGCCCAGCGUGCCCGUGGCGCCGGUGAUCAGAACGGUGCCGUCCGCGUUCCACGGCCCGGCGGACACC
rnacentral:tRNA from 1 species